rnacentral:lncRNA from 1 species
CCACCCUCCAGCGGGCACAAGAAAGAGGCAGGCAUUCCUCAGGCCUUAUCUCUCUGGUUCUGUCUGCUACAUAUGACACCUUGCGAUGGCUCUCACCUUCUGGAAUCUCUCUACUACCUUGGUUUCAGGAGAGUGAACCCUCUCAAUUAUCACAUGAAGCUACUUCCUGUGAGCAGCCCAGGGACGGCCUGUCACUUGUGACCUAUUUUCAGAGCUGGCAGUUCUGACUUCUAGAACAAACUCGGAGCAAGCCCAUCUGUAGCUGGUUGACUGAGUUUCCUUUGGGCUCCUGGCACCAGAAAGAAUUGCUCCCUGGAAGGAUCACAGGUGGCACUCCCGUCUCAUUGCCCACUCAGGGAACACGAUGCACAUGGAUGAUCAAUGGUCAGUUCCUGGUCAAUGUAAGUAAACAAGCCUGUUUAAGAUAAAUUCCCCCACACUGCCUUGUACUACUCCUUGCCCUCUGCCUUAAGGUUAUAGAACAGCUGCCUUCUGCUAUUCUUCCCCGAGGCUCUGCAGAACCUUCUGACCUUUCAGAAGGUUUGCGUCCUUUCUCUCUAUAGUUUUUCCACCACUCUGACGAAUCCCCCACAAUGUAUCGCUUUGUAUGCAAAGCCAGGCCUGUCCAUGCAGGGUGACAAUCCAAGGUAGACAGUGGCAAAAUCUGGUGGAGGCAUCAGAGACAGUGCCAUCAGUUCGCUGGAAUAAGCGUAUCAAGGAGCCUGGCAGAUCUACACUUUACCAGACAGUGCCCAUGGCCAACAGGGCAGGCCCUUGCUGCAGAGAAACACUCAGAAAUCAAAACUCCUUGCUCUGCUGUCACGGACCUCUCCAGGAGAUCCUCAGUGUCAUCAGAAGCUGAAAAAGCAGUGCUGAGAAAUGUAGCCUGCCAUCUUUCCAGCUAAGGGAGGUGGCCCAUUCAACCCUGGGUUGUCCUCUGCAAAUGUACUGCUACAGGUCGCAUGGCACCAUCUUCUGAUUGCAAUUGGCUUUCCUGAGGGAGUGAACUGACUGAAAUGGGAUGGUAAUAAGUUGCUAGGUUAUUUUCCACUUUUUAGUUUAUGAGGCUUAUUGAUUUUGCUUUAACAUUAACUACUGCCUUCCUUUUAAGGAGCUGGUGAGGCAGAGCAUGGCAGCAGGUUGAGGGUGGGGAAGUGGCACCACCUCCUUUUGGGGAGGAUUUGGGAGGGUGAAAAGCACCCUCAUCUUCUCAGCUGCGUGUGAACAAACCACCUGUCAAGGUGGGUCCUUCAUCUAUAGGAGGAUGAUGUCAGCCCUUCAGGGAGGUCUGUUUUCUUCCUCCAUUUCCCAACCCCUUCAUUAUCAUUCCUUCCACAACAGAGUAAGUUUCUUGAGCAAAGCAGCAAUAUCUAGCAAUUUUAGAUAGACAUUUACCUUUUGACCUAGAAAUCUCACUUCUACGAAUCCAUCCUGAAGACACUCUCAGCUGGAUGUGGUCGCUCAUGCCUGUGAUCCUAACACUUUGGGAGGCUAAAGCAGGAGAAUCACUUGGGCUCAGGAGCUCAAGACCAGCCUGGGCAACAUAGCAAGACCCUAUCUCUACAAAAAAAAAAA